rnacentral:rRNA from 1 species
AGAGUUUGAUCCUGGCUCAGGAUGAACGCUGGCGGCGUGCCUAAUACAUGCAAGUCGAACGCUUUGUUUUUAAUUGAUAUGAAGAGCUUGCUCUGAUUUGAUUUUAUCUGACAAAGAGUGGCGAACGGGUGAGUAACACGUGGGUAACCUACCUCUUAGCAGGGGAUAACUUUUGGAAACAAGUGCUAAUACCGUAUAACACUAACAACCGCAUGGUUGUUAGUUGAAAGAUGGUUCUGCUAUCACUAAGAGAUGGACCCGCGGUGCAUUAGCUAGUUGGUAAGGUAAUGGCUUACCAAGGCGAUGAUGCGUAGCCGAGUUGAGAGACUGAUCGGCCACAAUGGGACUGAGACACGGCCCAUACUCCUACGGGAGGCAGCAGUAGGGAAUCUUCCACAAUGGGCGCAAGCCUGAUGGAGCAACGCCGCGUGUGUGAUGAAGGGUUUCGGCUCGUAAAACACUGUUAUAAGAGAAGAACGACAUUGAGAGUAACUGUUCAGUGUGUGACGGUAUCUUAUCAGAAAGGAACGGCUAAAUACGUGCCAGCAGCCGCGGUAAUACGUAUGUUCCAAGCGUUAUCCGGAUUUAUUGGGCGUAAAGCGAGCGCAGACGGUUAUUUAAGUCUGAAGUGAAAGCCCUCAGCUCAACUGAGGAAGGGCUUUGGAAACUGGAUAACUUGAGUGCAGUAGAGGAAAGUGGAACUCCAUGUGUAGCGGUGAAAUGCGUAGAUAUAUGGAAGAACACCGGUGGCGAAAGCGGCUUUCUGGACUGUAACUGACGUUGAGGCUCGAAAGUGUGGGUAGCAAACAGGAUUAGAUACCCUGGUAGUCCACACCGUAAACGAUGAGUGCUAGAUGUUCGAGGGUUUCCGCCCUUGAGUGUCGCAGCU